rnacentral:rRNA from 1 species
UACGUAGGGCGCAAGCGUUAUCCGGAAUUAUUGGGCGUAAAGAGCUCGUAGGCGGUUUGUCGCGUCUGCCGUGAAAGUCCGGGGCUCAACUCCGGAUCUGCGGUGGGUACGGGCAGACUAGAGUGAUGUAGGGGAGACUGGAAUUCCUGGUGUAGCGGUGAAAUGCGCAGAUAUCAGGAGGAACACCGAUGGCGAAGGCAGGUCUCUGGGCCUUACCUGACGCUCAGGCGCGAAAGCUAGGGGAGCGAACAGG